rnacentral:rRNA from 1 species
CCUACGGGUGGCAGCAGUGAGGAAUAUUGGUCAAUGGUCGGGAGACUGAACCAGCCAAGUCGCGUGAAGGAGGAUUGCCCUGAGGGUUGUAAACUUCUUUUGUCAGGGAAUAAAGUGAGGCACGUGUGCCUGGUUGUGUGUACUUGAUGAAAAAGCAUCGGCUAACUCCGUGCCAGCAGCCGCGGUAAUACGGAGGAUCCGAGGGUUACCCGGAUUUAUUGGGUUUAAAGGGGGCGCAGGUGGGUUGUUAAGUCAGUGGUAAAAGUUUGGGGCGCAACCGUAGAAUUGCCAUUGAUACUGGCAGUCUCGAGUAGGGGUGAGGUAGGCGGAAUGCGUGGUGUAGCGGUGAAAUGCAUAGAUAUCACGAAGAACUCCGAUUGCGAAGGCAGCUUACUGAA